rnacentral:rRNA from 1 species
UGGGGAAUUUUGGACAAUGGGCGAAAGCCUGAUCCAGCAAUGCCGCGUGUGUGAAGAAGGCCUUCGGGUUGUAAAGCACUUUUGUCCGGAAAGAAAUGGCUCUGGUUAAUACCUGGGGUCGAUGACGGUACCGGAAGAAUAAGGACCGGCUAACUACGUGCCAGCAGCCGCGGUAAUACGUAGGGUCCAAGCGUUAAUCGGAAUUACUGGGCGUAAAGCGUGCGCAGGCGGUUGUGCAAGACCGAUGUGAAAUCCCCGAGCUUAACUUGGGAAUUGCAUUGGUGACUGCACGGCUAGAGUGUGUCAGAGGGGGGUAGAAUUCCACGUGUAGCAGUGAAAUGCGUAGAGAUGUGGAGGGAAUACCGAUGGCGAAGGCAGCCCCCUGGGAUAACACUGACGCUCAUGCACGAAAGCGUGGGGAGCAAACAGGAUUAGAUACCCUGGUAGUCCACGCCCUAAACGAUGUCAACUAGUUGUUGGGAUUCAUUUCCUUAGUAACGUAGCUAACGCGUGAAGUUGACCGCCUGGGGAGUACGGUCGCAAGAUU